AGAAUCAAUGCUGGCGGCGUGCCUAACACAUGCAAGUCGAACGAGAAAGUGGAGCAAUCCAUGAGUAAAGUGGCGCACGGGUGAGUAACACGUGACUAACCUACCCUUGAGUGGGGAAUAACCUAGGGAAACCUGGGCUAAUACCGCAUAACACCUACGGGUCAAAGGAGCAAUUCGCUUAAGGAGGGGUCGCGGCAGAUUAGCUAGUUGGCGGGGUAAUGGCCCACCAAGGCAGUGAUCUGUA
rnacentral:rRNA from 1 species